AAAAUGGCAUCACCCACAGGGAUUGGAAGCCAGAAAAUGUUUUAUUGUGUGCCUCGGAUGACGAAACUCUUAUAAAGUCAGAUGGAUCUCUCAGUCAUUUCUUAUUCCUGAGUGAACAAAUAGUAUUUCAGUGAAUUGCUAGAACAUACCUAAAGAACAGCUAUAAACUUCAAUUCUCAAAGAUAUG